rnacentral:rRNA from 1 species
AACCCUGAGGUAAUGAUUAAGAGGAACGGCCGGGGGCGAUCGUACCGCGACGCUAGAGGUGAAAUUCUUGGACCGUCGCGAGACGCACCACAGCGAAAGCAUUCGUCAAGAACGCUUCCGUUAAUCAAGAACGAAAGUCAGAGGUUCGAAGGCGAUCAGAUACCGCCCUAGUUCUGACCGUAAACGAUGCCGACCAGCGAUCGGGCUGCGCUCACCACGAUGAGGCGCCCGGAAGCUUUCCGGGAAACCAGAGUGUCUGGGUUCCGGGGGAAGUAUGGUUGCAAAGCUGAAACUUAAAGGAAUUGACGGAAGGGCACCACCAGGAAUGGAGCCUGCGGCUUAAUUUGACUCAACACGGGAAAACUCACCCGGCCCGGACACGGGAAGGAUUGACAGACCGAUUGCUCUUUCUUGAUUCUGUGGGUGGUGGUGCAUGGCCGUUCUUAGUUGGUGGAGCGAUUUGUCUGGUUGAUUCCGAUAACGAACGAGACUCCGGCCUGCUAAAUAGUCGCCCCUCGGACGCGGCGCAAACUUCUCUUCUUAGAGGGACAAGCGACGCAUUAAAGUCGCGCGAAGUGGAGCGAUAACAGGUCUGUGAUGCCCUUAGAUGUCCGGGGCCGCACGCGCGCUACACUGACGCCCACAGCGUGCGCGCUCGCCCGGUCCGGCAGGACCGGGGAACCCCAUGAACGGACGUCGUGAUGGGGACAGGGGAUUGGAAUUGUUCCCCUCGAACGAGGAAUUCCCAGUAAGUGCGAGUCACUAGCUCGCGUUGAUUACGUCCCUGCCCUUUGUACACACCGCCCGUCGCUACUACUGAUUGAACGGUUCGGUGAGGUCCUCGGACUGGCGCCCGYGCKAMGGAACCCUGCUUCGAAACCACCGRAGCAUUUCCCGAAKYGGGUGCCGGAAAGUCGAUCGAACCGUAUCGUUUAGAAGAAGUAAAAGUCGUAACAAGGUUACC